CACCAAGGGAGCCCAGGCAGCACAGAGAAGGUGGAUUCUGCACACAAACACUCGGCGCUGUAGCCGUGGCCGAGUGUGGGAUGCUGAGGUCUAGACUCCUUUCGAUGCUUGUAUGCUACUCCCAGGAAUGCC
ensembl:miRNA tgu-mir-1559 tgu-mir-1559